GAGUUCAGAGCUAGUGCAUGAUACACCAGGACAGGAUGGAUUAGCAUACUGAGAUGGUGUGGCAAACCUCUGGGAAGGUAGCUGCUUAGCUCACAGGAUCAGGCUCUGUACAGUUGAAUGAGGAAGAGAGCUAUCUUUCCAUUGGGUGGAUUCAAACUCCAGAGAUAUUGCAUCUCUUUCUGUUCUUCAUGAUACUGAUUUGCCUACUGGAAUAACUUGGACAUACCCUGCUAACCACAUUCCCAUGGCACAGGCACCCCCUGGCUGAUUUUGUUCUCUGUCUGCUGUAAUCUCUCAAAGCCUGAAGUGUGUCAGCCUUUGAGCAAAACAAAUGCAGUUAUCUGAAUGGUGGCACAGCCUUGAUAACAGAGUCAUUCAGCGGUUUCUUCUGUCUUGUGUUUCAUAGAAACAAGGAAGUUACGGUUAAAGCAUGGUUAAGAAUCAAAGGAUACAUUUUUUAAACAAAGGCUGAGGCUACCAUAUGUACAGUGAUUGGGAUGCAUUGUUUUUUGUCUUUUUUAUCUUUUUUUUUUUUUUUUGACAUGUCCUCUUAACCUGUUCUUUGAAUUCAGGAGAAUAUUUAGUGAAAGAUCAAUAUUUUGGAUUUAAGGCAUUAUCUGUAAGGAGAGGCAGACAGAGACUGCCCGUGCUGACAACAGGAUGUCAGCUGUAGGUGUUGGUGAUCUGUGGAAGUGAUGGGGAGGUGAAGUCAUGGGCCCGAGACGCUCUGAGUUCUGGAGGAGCUGGGGAAACAGGCAGGCACAACAGCUACAUGUGAUGUGAAGAACUAUGAGGCCAUCUGAUAGGGAUCAGAGGAAGGGAAAUGACUGGAGGACGUGGCAGGAUGCAGAGGUCUGAAAGGAGAUGGGAGAGCCCUGUCAGCAGAGGGUAUUCAAAGUGUCCUGAGCAAGAUGGGGCUUAGAUAUAGUAGGUCUGAGGAGGCUUUGAGAUUCAAGGUUUCAGGGUCCUGAAAUCCCUCAGGCUUUUGUGAGUGGAGUGAUAGUAAGUUACUUGGAUUUUAUUCUGCACUCUGUGGACUGCCAUGGAGCAUUUGUCACUCUUAAAAGUACUAGAGCAGAUCUCAUUUAGGGGGUAGAGACACAUGGAAAAAAACUUGCUUCCUCCUCCUGGCAGCAAUGAUAUGUGUUCUGCACAUGAAGGCUGAUCUAGCUGACUAUUUUCAGAAAUGCCAUAAGCUUAUCCAGGUGUGACAAGCUUCCAAACCUUCUAGAAAAAAAACUGAAUGGAUGGAGAUUCUGUUAAUCUUCAGGAAAGACUGGAAAUUAAAAUGACAAUUUAGAUUUUUUUUCUUUCGUCAAACUCAAACUUUAAUGGAGAAAUCACUAUCAUACAGAUACAGCGACUCCUGUGGAUUCAUCUGGAUGAGAUUUCCAAUGUUGGAAAACAGAAAGCCUUGAAAGGGAGCAGGGGGAGGAGGAGUGAUUCUGCUCUGAGAAAGAAAGAACAAGGUCUUUAAUGAAUAUUCACUUCUCAGGGACAUGAUAUGAUUCAGUCAACGUGGCUAGAUGACAGAACCCAUCUAGAUCCUCAGGGAUAAUUACGACAGAAGGACUAGCUAAGAACCAGUCACAACAGGCAAUUCUACGCUGAAGAAGAACUGCUACCUUCUAAUACCUCUUCCUACCAAACCUUGGAAACCAGGCGCCAGGCGUUCAACACAGAGGUAACCCUCUGCUCCCAUCCGUACUAGCUUCAAAACUGAGGAGUUAUCACAGUGGGCAGAGCAGGUUUGCUUUUCCCAUCCCUGUGAAAAUCUCCUUAGAAGCACAGCAUAUCCCAAGCCUUCUUUCUGAAGGGCACAGAAAAGACAGGUGAAUGAAUUUAUUGGAUGUCUUGGACAACUCCUGUAGAAGGCGUGCAGUGAGUACCUGAGGUUCCUUCAUCGUGAAAUUUAUGUUGCAGCAGAUUAGACAGAAGAUUGGACAUCCUCUGAGGUGUUAAUGAUCUCCUCUAGCAGAUUUCCCAUGGAAGGAACUCCCAAGUGUUUGAGUGUUUUUGUCCAAAUGUGGUCCAUAUCAGUUCUGCCUCCUCAAAGUCCUCUUAGCCCAAACUGAGCUUGUAGUCAACUCAGACCAUACCAACCAGCUGCUUCCCUCCCCCCCUUCCCCUCCCCCCCGACCCCACCCCAGUUUUGCAUAGGUUUUGCAUAGGGAAAAACAGGAUGAAAUCCAUGUAAUAAGAGAAAUGUCUUCUACAAAUAUACAUGAGGAACAAAAGGAACUUCUGUAAGUCUAUUACUUGAUGUUGAUGGUUUAAAGUGCUAGUAAUGAGACGUUAUGAGACAGAUGCAUUCAAUAAGUAUUUCUGUUCUGGUGGAUCAAAGCUGGAAGGAAGUAUGAAUACAUUAUGAAGCUGAUGAAAUGUUUUCUGGUCUUACAGUAAAAUGGGUGAAUGCAAGUCAACUCAGAUCUGUGUCAGCAAGGCUCUAUAAAAUGGCACCGAGUCUUCUUAAGGCAGCAACUCAGGAAGUUGUACUUUCUCUAGGCAGGUAAUGAAUGCUGAGCUUGUACCCAGAGGUCAGAGGUAUGACCCAAUUAAUAGUAAGCUGGUUGGCCUAGCUUACUACUGGUCUUGGGAUCAGCAUGUAGGAAAUGGCUGAUACUGAAGACAAAAGUAAAAUCUGUUCCAAUUAAUUUAACCUUAGUGGAAUUUGAGCUUGUCAAGUCAUCCUAGUACCUCUAGUUGAAAAAACACUUCAAGAUCAGAACUGUGAUGAGUUAGUCACCUGACUGUAAAUUUUUUUAAUAUACCAUUUUUAGAAGACGCUACUUGAUUUCAACAAAGAUAUCUUAUGGGCAAUUAUCAGUGGGGAAGUCUUUCCAGAAGGGAAUCACUCAUUUCUCCUUUCCACCCAAUACAAUCUGUUUUUAAAUCACAAAUAACACAUGAACAACUGCAAAUGCACUUUUAAGAUAGUACGAAAUGUGAAAAAAUAAAGAUGACAGUGCUUUUGUUUGAAAGUGAUCAGACUCACUUCAUAACCUCGGUUCAACCAAAUGCAACCAAAACAGUUCGUCCUUAGAAACAAGAGAGCAUGAACUGUUUUUACAGGAUUGGGUACUGUAUCACAGAAAGCUUGAAAAGGUCUAUGGGGAUUGUCACAUGUAAUCAACUGUGCAUGAACUCCUACUAUAAUCUCAUUAUUAAAACAGUUACAGUGGUCACUGGAAGUACAGAGAUGGGGGCUGGGAUUGGGGAUGCAGUAUUCUGUCUGUGUAAGGAAGAAAUAGGGCCACUUUUGCAGUGGCUGUUGAAGUGGAUAGAGGAGCCAAGGGAGAAAUAGUUAAAGGAUCAGGACCUUCACAUAGGACACAUUUAUUCCAUGAUUAUUUCAUGAUGGAUUACCCCAGAAAAUAGCUUCCAAAAGUUUUUCCAUGAAACAGCAGAUCAUGCAGCUCCUCUGCUGGACCCUCCCUUAAGUCAUGUUUUCUGGAUUAUGUUCCAGAGGAAAUCAGUAGGGGUUGCAGCUUUCUGAGGUGAGUUUAGUGUUGGAUACCUGCCUAUGUGCUGUGACACGCUGCCUUGGCUAAUAAAUCGUGACCUCUGUGGUUAUAUCGGUCAAAUGCUUUCUCAGCCAGAGCAAUUUCCAGCAAAUCAGUGGGCUCCUUUCACAGUGCCCAUCUGACAAGCACGGGGUAGCGCACAGAUGGUUUAGAUAUAAAAAAGAAUGUUGCAUCAGUACUGUAUGUGUGAAAUGUUUCAAUUAUUCCUAAAAUAUUUUUAACGUGUUCCAGAUUUAUCAGGCAAAAUGUUUAGGAAGUAAUUGGAGUUUAUUCUGUUUUUAAUUUUGGUAUAGUAUAUUAUAAUAAACACAUGUUCAAAAUACAUUUUAGGUAUCACCAAAUAUUUAUAAAAUGUGUAUAGGUGGAAAUCCCAAGGUCACUACAGUAGCUUUAUUUUGCCAGUCUGUUUACAAGGAGAUGAGUCAUUAAAACCUAUGGCUGUUUCUAUCUGUACCGAGAAUCCUUCUCCUGCAGGCAGUGGAUAACCUAUUGGUUUUACAUAUUCAUGUAAGAUUAAGCUUUCUCUGAUUGCAGAGGUUGAAUUUAACCCUCCCUCAUAUUAUUUGUAAUAAUAAAAACUUCUAGUGGUAUUUCCAAGUGGACAUAUAUGUCUCAUAUUUAACAUCUGAUCAUAUUACCGUCAUUUUCCACUAUAACUAAAAGAUGAAUUAAAUAAAUGAGUAUCCCAAGCAAUUCUGUUUAGGAAAUCAGAUGAAAGAUGGUGUCAUACUUCUUGAAACACACAGUGGGCUUUUGCAAUUAGAACUAAUUGGUAUGUUGUGUGCAUCACUACCUGCCUUAAGAAAUACUGACGAAGCUUCGGGGUGGGAUGG